rnacentral:tRNA from 1 species
GAGGCUGUAGCUCAGUGGCAGAGCACUUGCCUAGCAUGUGUGAGGCACUGGGUUUGAUCUUUAGCACCACAUGAAAAUGAAACAAAAUAAAGGCAUGCUGUCCAUCUACAACUACAAAAAAAAAAAAAAAAAGGUCUUGGAGCCGACAGUAUAGCUCAGUAGUAUACAGUGCUUGCUUAGCAUGUGCAAGGACCAGGGUUUGGUCCCCAGCACACGCA